UUCCGACGCCAGAGCAAACAGUCAGUUCAACGUCAACGCUCAGAAUCGCCGGUCACAAGCUCAGAAGAGCUCCGCGAAUCAAAUUAAAACUACUUGAAGUGAAUGCACUGAACCUGCAACUUUAAACAAUAUAAGG